rnacentral:lncRNA from 1 species
GUCCCUGCUCAUUUUGAGGAUGCAUCACAACAGGAAACUGCUAUCCCUCUAAAUUUCUGUCUUUACCAGCCUGCUGAAUCCCAGCCUGAAGAGACUGGAUUACUGCUGUGGAAGGCCUGUAUAGAGCCAGCAAGGUCCGACUGCAGCCUCCUCAGCCAGCCCUUUCCUAGGCCCGGGCCAGCAGGAGACAGAGACCAGGGACAGGGCCUGGGACAGACUCCACUCAGGACUUUGCCCUCCCGCUCCAGCUUUGUGGCUCCAAGGCUCAGCGGGUUGGCCUACUGGGACGUGUCUCCAACUCAGCUUCUCAAAGCCUGGUCCAAUUGGAGGGAAAUGUGGACAACAGGGAGGAAAAAGUGAUGCUGUCCAUGUCCAGGGUCACGGUGAGGGGAACCUAUAAUCCCAGCAAGCCAGAAGGCUGUGAUGGGAAAAUUGCUUGAAACCAGAAGUUUGCAGCUGCAGUGCACGAUGACUGUGCCUGUCAAGAGCCACUGCACUCUAGCCUGGGCAACAUAGCAGACCCUCAUCUCUAAUAAAAAAAAAAAAAAAAAAUGUUUGGUUGGGCAUGGUGGCUCACACCUGUAAUCCAGCACUUUGGGAGGCCAAGGUGGGUGGAUCACAAGGUCAGGAGUUCAAGACCAUACUGGCCAACAUGGUGAAACUCCAUCUCUACUAAAAAUACAAAAAUUAGCUAGGCAUGGUGGUACAUGGCUGUAAUCCCAUCUACUCGGGAGGUUGAGGCAGAAGAAUUGCUUGAACCAGGACCCAAGAGGCGGAGGUUGCAGUGAGCUGAGAUCACACCAGUGCAUCCCAGUCUGGGCUACAGAGUGAAACUCUGUCUCAAAAAAUAAUAAAUAAAUAAAUACAUUUAUUAAGAACAACAAUCCAGUAAGAUAGUAUGUAAGUGCUACUUGUUUGGGAAUAUUUGUAACAACAUCUUAACAUUUGUAUAGAGAAAAGGAAUGGGGCCUCCUAAACUUUGAGCAUCAUGUCAGUUAAGAUGUAACUGGCUGGUCAAAUCCAUAAUGCCUAACUCAUAAUAGCUCAAACUUUAUAAAACGUAUUCAUUGACUUAAUAAGGUGCUCCAGGACUGGUUCAGCGUCUCGAUGAAGUUGUUAAGGGCCCUGAUUAUUCUCUUUGUCUCCUCUUGAUUACAACAUGGCUGCCGCAGCUUUAGGCAUCAUGGCUUCUGCAACCAUGGCCAAAACAGAGACUUCUCAGCAGCUCUCCAACAGACUUCUCUUUGACUCUCAUUGGCCAGAACUAGGGCACAAACCCAUUCUUAAACCAACUUACAGCAAAAAGAGGGUUGUCAAGAUUGUCCUAGAACAGUUG